rnacentral:rRNA from 1 species
GAUGAACGCUGGCGGCGUGCCUAAUACAUGCAAGUCGAGCGAACAGACGAGGAGCUUGCUCCUCUGACGUUAGCGGCGGGCGGGUGAGUAACACGUGGAUAACCUACCUAUAAGACUGGGAUAACUUCGGGAAACCGGAGCUAAUACCGGAUAAUAUAUUGAACCGCAUGGUUCAAUAGUGAAAGACGGUUUUGCUGUCACUUAUAGAUGGAUCCGCGCCGCAUUAGCUAGUUUGUAAGGUAACGGCUUACCAAGGCAACGAUGCGUAGCCGACCUGAGAGGGUGAUCGGCCACACUGGAACUGAGACACGGUCCAGACUCCUACGGGAGGCAGCAGUAGGGAAUCUUCCGCAAUGGGCGAAAGCCUGACGGAGCAACGCCGCGUGAGUGAUGAAGGUCUUCGGAUCGUAAAACUCUGUUAUUAGGGAAGAACAAAUGUGUAAGUAACUAUGCACGUCUUGACGGUACCUAAUCAGAAAGCCACGGCUAACUACGUG